AUGCUUGCAUUUCACAGAAUACUCACGAGUCAAACUUCAGGAUACUGUGUGAUGCAGCCAUUCUCACGUUCUUCAUCCAAUGUAAGCAGUUGUUGUAGUGGUUUGAGGGAAAAUGAAACAUCUGAGGAAGAGGAGAAUGACAGGGAGCUGACGUGCUCUCCUGAGGGCCCUCCAAAGCAGGAUUCAUUGGUUAGUAUGUGGCUGGAUGAAAGUGACUGCAAACCCACUACAUCCAGCUCACCAGGUAAAAAAGGAAAAAAAAGAAAAAAAAAUCCUUUACUUAAGCAUCUAGAAACAUAUGAUAGGUUGAGCUACAUAAACUUUUGGCAAAAUCUUUUGUAUGCUAUACUGAGGAUAUGAAGAGCAUAGAGAGAUGACAGGUUCAGAGAAAUGAGGUGAGAAGUUAGUAUGUAAACUUUAACAGGAAGGGAAUGGGGCGGAGAGAAAGGUGUUUCAGUAGAAUGAAUAGUAUUGUACGCACUGGAGAAGGAGUUACAGCAGAUUCUAUAUAGUUAAUGUGUUUUUAGGUCUCUGUAGAGUGCAUAUAUCUUGAUGCAUUGGUUAUUGAUAUGACCGCAGUGCCAUAUACC
rnacentral:lncRNA from 1 species